UACAGAGGGUGCAAGCGUUAUUCGGAUUUACUGGGCGUAAAGCGCGUGUAGGCGGUUUGCUAAGUCUGGUGUGAAAGCCCUGGGCUCAAUUCAGGAAGUGCAUUGGAAACUGGCAGGCUGGAGUACAGGAGAGGAGAGUGGAAUUCCUGGUGUAGAGGUGAAAUUCGUAGAUAUCGGGAGGAACAACAGUGGCGAAGGCGACUGUCUGGACGGUUACUGACGCUGAGGCGCGAAAGCCAGGGGAGCAAACGGG
rnacentral:rRNA from 1 species